rnacentral:rRNA from 1 species
UAGGGAAUCUUCCGCAAUGGACGCAAGUCUGACGGCGCAACGCCGCGUGAGUGAAGAAGGAUUUCGGUUCGUAAAACUCUGUUGUUAGAGAAGAACAGCGCAUAGAGUAACUGUUAUGCGUGUGACGGUAUCUAACCAGAAAGCCACGGCUAACUACGUGCCAGCAGCCGCGGUAAUACGUAGGUGGCAAGCUUUGUCCGGAUUUAUUGGGCGUAAAGCGGGCGCAGGCGGUCAAUUAAGUCUGAUGUGAAAGCCCCCGGCUCAACCGGGGAGGGUCAUUGGAAACUGGUUGACUUGAGUGGAGAAGAGGAGAGUGGAAGUCCAUAUGUAGCGGAGAAAUGCGUAGAUAUAUGGAGGAACACCAGUGGCGAAGGCGACUCUCUGGUCUGUAACUGACGCUGAGGCUCGAAAGCGUGGGUAGCAAACAGG